rnacentral:rRNA from 1 species
GACGAGCCUCACAAACGUUAUUCGGAAUUACUGGGCUUAAAGGGUGCGUAGGCGGCGCGGAAAGUUGGGUGUGAAAUCCCUCGGCUUAACCGAGGAACUGCCCUCCAAACUGCUUUGCUUGAGGCCGGGAGAGGUGAGUGGAAUUCCCAGUGUAGCGGUGAAAUGCGUAGAUAUUGGGAGGAACACCAGUGGCGAAGGCGGCUCACUGGACCGGUUCUGACGCUGAGGCGCGAAAGCGUGGGGAGCAAACGGG